rnacentral:rRNA from 1 species
UACGGGGGGGGAGCUAGUGUUAUUCGUAAUAAUUGGGCGUAAAGGGUUUCUAGGCUUUUUUUUUAAGUUAUUAAUCAAAUAUUAAAUUUCAAGUUUAAUUUAUAGUUUUAAUACUGAAAAAAUUGAGUAUAAAGGAAGGUUGCGGAACUCUCGGAGUAGGGGUAAAAUCUGUAGAUAACGACGGGGACCAUCAAUAGGGUUAAAGCGGCAAUCUAGUUUAUUACUGACUGCUGAAAGACUAAAGCAUGGGGAGCAAACGGG